rnacentral:rRNA from 1 species
UUUCUAGAGAUAGAAAGUUACUUCGGUACAUCGGUGACAGGUGGUGCAUGGUUGUCGUCAGCUCGUGUCAUGAGAUGUUGGGUUAAGUCCCGCAACGGGCGCAACCCCUACGUUUAGUUGCUAACGCGUGAAGGCGAGCACUCUAGACGAACUGCCGUUGACAAAACGGAGGAAGGUGGGAUGACGUCAAAUCAUCAUGCCCCUUAUGUUCUGGGCUACACACGUGCUACAAUGGCCGGUACAGACGGACGCAAAGCCGCGAGGUGGAGCAAAUCCUAAAAAGCCGGUCUCAGUUCGGAUUGCAGGCUGCAAUUCGCCUGCAUGAAGUCGGAAUCGCUAGUAAUCGCAGGUCAGCAUACUGCGGUGAAUACGUUCCCGGGCCUU